CCUGGAUCUGUUGUCAGAUUCAAAGGGUAAAGGCCAUGCCAGAAAUAGGAAACCACGCUAAUGAGCUGAUGCAAGGUCUUCAAAUGUCUGGAGUUGCAAUGAGUACACACCACUCUAGGCCUUCAUGCUCUACCCUCUACUAAACCAAGAGGCUAAUCCAGAAAAGAGCUGGGGUGAAGGCUACAGUAAUUAUCAUUUCCUAAAAUCAAUGUUGAGAUUCACCGUUAUGACUUCCACCAUCUUGAAAGAGAUCAACGGGCAUGUCUUGGAUUCCAUGAUUUGCCACAGUGAUGUGACUGCAGCGAGGGAGAAAAGAAGGGACAUAGGUGUAUGCCAGUGCUGGUCAGGCGUAU